GAUACUUGCUUGUUUGGCAUAGCACACACUGGCGGACAAAAGUCUUGAUUUGAUGUGCAAUCCCUGGCCAACAAGAUGAGGAAAGUCGGGCUAAAGUGGCAUUCCAUCCUGAAUGACCUGUUGUUGGGGUUUCAUGGAACUCACAGAUCAAUGUGAGACGUAAGUCUGCCAAGUCAGGUAUAAAAAUGCGCCCCUUAUAGAAUAAAAUUUCAUGUGAUAAAAUAUAGUGUUGUUUGCCAACUAGAUCUGAUUCUUGUUGUGUGAUAAAUGCAUGACCCUCUGAAGAGGAAACAAAUUCCCGAAGUUGAUAUAGAAUCUGAGGACACGGUGAGGUCAGGGCAGCAAGGAUAGGAGCAUCAGUGCUGAAGCAUCGAGAUAAUCCAUCGAUAACCCGAUUUGAGGUAUAUGUUCUAUACUUGAUAAUAUAGUGAAAGCCGAUUAAUUUGGUAGCCCAUUUUUGUUGUUCCGGGUUUUGAAAACCCUAGGUCAUUAACUGCCGUAAACUUUGUUGAUCUGUGUAAAUAGUGAAUUGCUUUCCUAAUAAGUAUUGUCUCCAUUUUUUUACAGAUUCGGUCACCGUAAACAUCUUCGGACAUAUGCUGAUAAGUGUUGCAUCCGAUUCGACAUCUUUUUACUGAAGUAAGCCAAAGGGUGGCCAUUUUGGGAAAGGACAGCUCUGAUAGCAACAGUCGACGCAUCCGUCUCAACAGCAAAUGUUUCGGAAAAAUCUGAAAGUUUUAAAACUGGAGUAGUUGUCAUUGCUUUUUUUAAUACUAUAAAGGUUGUCUCAGCCUUUGUAGACCAUGUAAGUUGUUGUAAUCUUAGUAAAUCAAUGAGUGGCGCG
rnacentral:lncRNA from 1 species